rnacentral:rRNA from 1 species
GACGAACGCUGGCGGCGUGCUUAACACAUGCAAGUCGAACGGUAAGGCCCUGCUUUUGUGGGGUGCUCGAGUGGCGAACGGGUGAGUAACACGUGAGUAACCUGCCCUUGACUUUGGGAUAACUUCAGGAAACUGGGGCUAAUACCGGAUAGGAGCUCCUGCUGCAUGGUGGGGGUGGGAAAGGUGCGGCGGUUGGGGGUGGACUCGCGGCUUCUGAGCUUGUUGGUGGGGUAGUGGCUUACCAAGGCUUUGACGGGUAGUCGGCCUGAGAGGGUGACCGGCCAGAUUGGGACUGGGAUACGGCGCAGACUCCUACGGGGGGCAGCAGUGGGGAAUGUUGCAGAAUGGGCGGGAGCCGGAUGCAGCAACGCCGCGUGCGGGGUGUCGGCCUUCGGGUUGGAAACCGCUUUCGCCGGUGACGAAGCGUGAGUGACGGUAGUGGGUAAAGAAGCGCCGGCUAACUACGUG